UGGAGCUUUAUGUCCAUCAGACUAGAUGAUAUGUUUGAUGGACACCAAACACUGAACAUUUCAUAAACACACCAUCCCCACUGUGAAGCACGGUGGAGGCAGCAUCAUGAUGUGAAGCAUGGUGGAGGCAGCAUCAUGAUGUGAAGCACGGUGGAGGCAGCAUCAUGAUGUGAAGCACGGUGGAGGCAGCAUCAUGAUGUGAAGCACGGUGGAGGCAGCAUCAUGAGGUGAAGCACGGUGGAGGUAGCAUCAUGACGUGAAGCACGGUGGAGGCAGCAUCAUGACGUGAAGCACGGUGGAGGCAGCAUCAUGAUGUGAAGCACGGUGGUGGCAGCAUCAUGAUGUGAAGCACGGUGGAGGCAGCAUCAUGAUGUGAAGCACGGUGGAGGCAGCAUCAUGAGGUGAAGCACGGUGGAGGCAGCAUCAUGAGGUGAAGCACGGUGGUGGCAGCAUCAUGAUGUGAAGCACGGUGGAGGCAGCAUCAUGAUGUGAAGCACGGUGGAGGCAGCAUCAUGAGGUGAAGCACGGUGGAGGCAGCAUCAUGAUGUGAAGCACGGUGGAGGCAGCAUCAUGAUGUGAAGCAUGGUGGAGGCAGCAUC